rnacentral:rRNA from 1 species
UACGUAGGGUGCGAGCGUUGUCCGGAAUUAUUGGGCGUAAAGAGCUCGUAGGCGGUGUGUCACGUCGAUCGUGAAAACUUACAGCUUAACUGUGAGCGUGCGGUCGAUACGGGCAUCACUGGAGUUCGGCAGGGGAGACUGGAAUUCCUGGUGUAGCGGUGAAAUGCGCAGAUAUCAGGAGGAACACCGAUGGCGAAGGCAGAUCUCUGGGCCGUAACUGACGCUGAGGAGCGAAAGCGUGGGGAGCGAACAGG